GACGAACGCUGGCGGCGUGCUUAACACAUGCAAGUCGAACGGAAAGGCCUCUUUCGGGGGGUACUCGAGUGGCGAACGGGUGAGUAACACGUGAGUAACCUGCCCUUGACUUUGGGAUAACUUCAGGAAACUGGGGCUAAUACCGGAUAGGAGCUCCUGCUGCAUGGUGGGGGUUGGAAAGUUUCGGCGGUUGGGGAUGGACUCGCGGCUUAUCAGCUUGUUGGUGGGGUAGUGGCUUACCAAGGCUUUGACGGGUAGCCGGCCUGAGAGGGUGACCGGCCACCUUGGGACUGCGAUACGGCCCAGACUCCCACGUGAGGCAGCAGUGGGGAAUAUUGCACAAUGGGUGGAAGCCUGAUGCAGCAACGCCGUGUGCGGGAUGACGGCCUUCGGGUUGUAAACCGCUUUCGCUCAUGACGAAGCUUUGUGUGACGGUAGUGGGUAAAGAAGCACCGGCUAACUACGUG
rnacentral:rRNA from 1 species